CGGUGAAUACGUUCCCGGACCUUGUACACACCGCCCGUCAAGCCAUGGAAGCUGGGUGUACCUAAAGUCGGUAACCGCAAGGAGCCGCCUAGGGCAAAACUAGUAACUGGGGCU
rnacentral:rRNA from 1 species